GACAGAGGUGGCAAGCGUUGUUCGGAUUUAUUGGGUGUAAAGGGCAGGUAGGCGGCCGGGCAAGUCUGAUGUGAAAUCCCAUGGCUCAACCGUGGAACUGCAUUGGAAACUGCCUGGCUUGAGUACCGGAGAGGUGAAGGGAAUUCUCGGUGUAAGGGUGAAAUCUGUAGAUAUCGAGAGGAACACCAGUGGCGAAGGCGCUUCACUGGCCGGUAACUGACGCUGAACUGCGAAAGCAAGGGGAGCAAACAGG
rnacentral:rRNA from 1 species